UACAGAGGUCUCAAGCGUUGUUCGGAUUCAUUGGGCGUAAAGGGUGCGUAGGUGGCGAGGUUAGUCAGGUGUGAAAUCUCGGGGCGCAACCCCGAAACUGCACUUGAUACUGCCUUGCUAGAGUACUGGAGAGGAGAUUGGAAUUUACGGUGUAGCAGUGAAAUGCGUAGAUAUCGUAAGGAAGACCAGUGGCGAAGGCGAAUCUCUGGACAGUUACUGACACUGAGGCACGAAGGCCAGGGGAGCAAACGGG
rnacentral:rRNA from 1 species